rnacentral:lncRNA from 1 species
CUUGUUCUAGCAAACCCGAUGCUAUUACAGAUUCAGCUACAGCGAUUCGCAUGUUUACUGGUUCAGAUGAUGAACCAUGCUCCUUGAUCAACCCAACAAAAAAGGUGAUGCAUUCAAUCAAAUAUGCUGGGUCCUCCAAUCGAUUUGGUUUGGUGGGUUCUACAAUUUUCUUCUGCUCACCGGAAAGAGCAAAGCUCGUCAGUAAACUGGCAAACCGUUUCACACAUACAGCCAUGCAACAGAUGAGUUUCUCUCUGGUCUUUGAAUGUCUCGUGACCUUGUAUAAGGACAACAAUUUAUCCCAAAA